UGACUUUGUGGCCCAAUGGAUAAGGCGCUGGUCUACGAAACCAGAGAUUCUGGGUUCGAUCCCCAGCAGAGUCGAUGUUUUUUGCUUUGUUACAUGCUUUAUCUUGAUUAUUAUUAUUCAAUCUAAUGGCUAACAUACAAAAAGACUCUGUGGCCCAAUGGAUAAGGCGCUGGUCUACGAAACCAGAGAUUCUGGGUUCGAUCCCCAGCAGAGUCGUUUUUUGUUAUUUUGUCAACUGUCACGUGUUUCAUAUCAUUUUAUUGUCGAAUCGAACAUUUUACACACAAAUGACUCUGUGGCCCAAUGGAUGAGGCGCUGGUCUACGAAACCAGAGAUUCUGGGUUCGAUCCCCAGCAGAGUCGU
rnacentral:tRNA from 1 species